rnacentral:misc_RNA from 1 species
AAAGCCGAGCGAUUGUGUGUAGAGAGAGAGAGAAAUACGGAUUAAAGACUUAUCAAUUAAAUUCGUUGUUUUUCUGCCUCAGAUUUACAUUGUUGUGUAUGUGAUUCUCAGAAUUCAAAAAGGUUUAUAAUUUUGUCUUGCUAACAUAUUGUCACAAUGCUUUUUUCUAAGAAGCUGGGUUUUUUUUGUAUAAUGUAAAACUGACAAUUAAUGUGCUGCUCAUCUAACACUGAUAACGUUUCCUCUUUCAUUUAUGUCAUUUGUGCUUUGAUUUAUUCAGAAAAUGAAAAAAAAACCUCCUUCAUAAUGUUUUAUAAUCGUUAAAAAUAUGGUUUUUGUGGUCUUCUGACAUCAAGUUUUAUUUUUUAACCUUUAAGAAAAUUAGAUUAUCAAUCUCACCAUAACCUCUUUAUUUCUAAAGCGGUACUUUAGAUGUGAAUAUUUAUUAAAAGAAAACAUUAAUCUGUGGUGCACUUCAUUCAAAAAAAAAAUGGAGGCUUUACAUGAAAGUGAGUGAAACGAAAGACAUAUUAAUUCCAUAUAUUUAUGUGCAAUCAACGUCUUGUCAAAGUUCCCAUGGCGGUCCCCGGUGACAGCCGCCAGGGAACACAACAGCACAAGCUUGUUUAUUGUCAGUCACUGGAAUCAGAUUUUUUUUUCACAAAGUGCUGUAUUUUGAUUUACUUUCCAUUUUAAGCAAAACUAAUCUGGAAAAUCAUUUGAGUUAUCAUUUAUUAUGAUUGUAGAAAGAGUUUAAUAAAUUGUAUUGGAU